rnacentral:tRNA from 1 species
GGGCCCUUAGCUUAGUUGGUAGAGCGCGUCAUUUGCAAUGACGAGGUCAGGAGUUCGAAUCUCCUAGGGUCCA